rnacentral:lncRNA from 1 species
UCUUUUUUUAGCCACAACAUUUCUAUUGAUCAUUGAAAAGGAACAACACUUCGUUUUGAUGGAUUUUCUGUAGUUUCUCUUUUCUAUUUCACGCUUGGUGCACUUGUUUUUAUUUCUCUUCUGCUUACCUUGGGUUUCAUUCGCUUUUCCUGUAGCUUUUAAAGGUAGAAGUUUAAUUAUCGACUGUAGACCUUUCCUGUUUCUAAGCCCUGUUUUAGCUGUUAUUGUACAAAUUCUGAUGUUAUAUUUUGGUUAAUAUUUAGUUCAAAAUACUCUCAGAUUUUCCUUGUAACUGAUUUAAGACUGCAUAGAAAUAUGUUAAUUUUCAAGUGUUUGGAAGAUUUUAGUUAUCUUUUGCUUAUUGAUUUCUAAUAUUGUGGUUAGAGAACUUAUUUUGUAUUGCUAAUAUUUUUUAAUGUUUUAUGACCCCAAAUUAUGUGAAGAAUUUCUAUAUCUUGGUCAAUGAUCUUUGUGUCUUUGAAAAGAAUGUAUACUCUACCAUGUGAGAAUUUAUUCUAUAAAUGACAGGCCACACUGGCUGGUUGUUUGCCAGUGUGUGUCAAGUCAUCUGUAUUUUUAUUGCUCUUUCUUUAAACUUUUGUUAUUUCAACCAUUGAAGAGAUUAUUGUUGAAAUCUUUAAUGGCUUUGCCCACUGCUUACUUUAUUCUUGUCACAUUUGCCUCAUGCAUUUUGAAGUUAUGUACUUGUGUGCCAGUGCUUAGAUUGUUGUCUGUUUACGACAGUGGUUCUUUGACUCUUAUUCGUCUCUAAUAACAUUCCUUGUCCUAGCUUAAGAGCAUUGAGGCAUGCGUGGGCAGGCAGUCGAGUUGGGUCAGUUGAUCCUUUUGUUGCUUGUCUUUAAUAUUUGUUUCAGUGGAUGUAAAGUAUGGGUUUAAAGACAGUGGUUCUCAAGCCUUUGGGCCUCACCACCUCCUUAGAUGUAUAAACACCAUUGAUGCCUAAGAACCUGUUUACACAGUCAUUGUCAGUAUUUACCAUAUUGGAAAUGAAAACAGGACAGUUAUAAUAGUAUCAGUUCCUUUUAAAAUUAAAAUAAAUAAACCCUUUACAUGUUCAACCCUCUC